AGCAAAUAACAGGGGAGCCUGUGGAGCGGGCUGAGAAAAAGUAAUCGAACUUUGACCCUUGACCUGAUUUGGAUCAUGCCAACGUAGGGAGUUAGACUUGCACAGAA
rnacentral:ncRNA from 1 species